rnacentral:rRNA from 1 species
CCAGCUAUGCGAGUUUGCUCCCAUAUUGUUGCAGUUAAAACGCCCGUAGUCWGAACUACAAUUGUUUAAGCGAUUUUUAAUCGCGUUCACUGUGAACAAAUCAGGACGCUUAGAGUAGGGUCUCUGAAUGACUCAGCGCAGUAUGAUAUUUUUACCUAAGGUAAAAUCAACGAGAGCCACCGGGGGUAGAUCUAUUUCAUGGCGAGCGGUGGAAUGCUAUGACCCAUGAGAGAGAAACGAAGGCGAAGGCAUCUACCUAGCGGGUUUCUGUCGAUCAAGGGCGAGAGUAGGAGUAUCCAACCGGAUUAGAGACCCGGGUAGUUCCUACCUUAAACGAUGCCGACAAGGGCUUAUCUUUUCAUGAAGGUAGGACCUUAGGAGAAAUCAUAGUUCUUGGGCUCUGGGGGAACUACGACCGCAAGGCUGAAACUUGAAGGAAUUGACGGAAGGGCACACCAGGGGUGGAGCUUGUGGCUUAAUUUGAAUCAACACGGGGAAACUUACCAGGACCAGAUGUUUUUUAUGACUGACAGGCUACCGGUCUUUCAGGAUGUGACUUUUGGUGGUGCAUGGCCGUUGGUGGUGCGUGGGUUGACCUGUCUAGCGUUGAUUCAGAUAACGAGCGAGAUUAUCACCAAUUAAAUAAUUCUAACUAAUACUAGUUACGAAUUUCUAAUUGGGACUCCCUGUGUCUAAACAGGAGGAAGAGGGUAGCAAUAACAGGUCCGUGAUGUCCUUAGAUGCUCUGGGCUGCACGCGCGCUACAAUGUGAGGAUCAAUGAGUUAUGAACUUGAUAAAGUUAAUUACUCUCUGAAUACCUCACGUAGUUGGGAUUGAUGAUUGUAAUCAUCAUCAUGAACCAGGAAUCCCUUGUAAAUGUGUGUCAACAGCGCACGUUGAAUACGUCCCUGCCCUUUGUACACACCGCCCGUCGCUCCUACCGAUUGAAUGAUUCGGUGAAAUCACCGGAGAGAAUUUCUUGAAGGUGAUUAAAUCAUAUUAUUUAGA